UACGUAGGGUGCGAGCGUUAAUCGGAAUUACUGGGCGUAAAGCGUGCGCAGGCGGUUUUGUAAGACAGAGGUGAAAUCCCCGGGCUUAACCUGGGAACUGCCUUUGUGACUGCAAGGCUUGAGUGCGGCAGAGGGGGAUGGAAUUCCGCGUGUAGCAGUGAAAUGCGUAGAUAUGCGGAGGAACACCGAUGGCGAAGGCAAUCCCCUGGGCCUGCACUGACGCACAUGCACGAAAGCGUGGGGAGCAAACAGG
rnacentral:rRNA from 1 species